rnacentral:rRNA from 1 species
UUAUCAAAAACAUGUCUUUUUGAAUUUAAUAUAAAGUCUAAUCUGCCCACUGAUUUUAAUUAAAGGGCUGCAGUAUUUUGACUGUACAAAGGUAGCAUAAUCAAUAGUCAUUUAAUUGAUGACUUGUAUGAAAGAUUGGAUGAAAUAUAUACUGUCUCUUAAUUAUAUUAUAGAAAUUAAUUUUUUAAUUAAAAAGUUAAAAUAUAUUAAAAAGACGAGAAGACCCUAUAGAGUUUUAUUUAUUAAAUUAUUUAAAAUUAUUUAUAAAUUUAAUUAUUGAAAUUAAUUAAUAAAUUUUGUUGGGGUGACAAAAAAAUAUGAAAAACUUUUUUUUUUAUAAUCCAUAAAUAAGUGAUUAUUUGAUCCAAUUUUAUUGAUUAUAAGAAAAAAUUACCUUAGGGAUAACAGCGUAAUUUCUUUUUUUAGUUCAUAUAAAAAAAGAAGUUUGCGACCUCGAUGUUGGAUUAAGAUAAAAUUUAAAUG